GGAGCCUGCGGUUUAAUUGGACUCAACGCCGGAAAACUCACCGGGGCGACAGCAAUAUGUAGGUCAAGCUAAAGACUUUACCAGAAUCGCUGAGAGGAGGUGCAUGGCCGUCGUCAGUUCGUACUGUGAAGCAUCCUGUUAAGUCAGGCAACGAGCGAGACCCGUGCCCACUGUUGCCAGCAUGUCCUUCGGGAUGAUGGGUACUCUGUGGGGACCGCCGAUGCUAAAUCGGAGGAAGGUGCGGGCUACGGUAGGUCAGUAUGCCCCGAAUCUCCCGGGCUACACGCGGGCUACAAUGACUGGGACAAUGGGCUCCUACCCCGAAAGGGGAUGGUAAUCUCAUAAACCCAGCCUUAGUUCGGAUCGAGGGCUGUAACCCGCCCUCGUGAAGCUGGAAUCCGUAGUAAUCGCGUUUCAACAUAGCGCGGUGAAUACGUCCCUGCUCCUU
rnacentral:rRNA from 1 species